UACGUAGGGGGCAAGCGUUGUCCGGAAUUAUUGGGCGUAAAGCGCGUGUAGGCGGUUCGAUAAGUCGGUUGUGAAAGUCCAGGGCUCAACCCUGGGAUGCCGACCGAUACUGUCGGACUAGAGUCCGGAAGAGGUGAGUGGAAUUCCCGGUGUAGCGGUGAAAUGCGCAGAUAUCGGGAGGAACACCAAUGGCGAAGGCAGCUCACUGGGACGGUACUGACGCUGAGACGCGAAAGCGUGGGGAGCAAACAGG
rnacentral:rRNA from 1 species